AGACGAUCCGUCAUCCUGUCGCCUAUCUAGCACCACAAUAUCUUACAGGGUAUAAAAAAGAAUGACGCUGCAAAAUAGGACGACGCGCACGGUAGCACCACCAUCAGGCAUUAAACUAGCGUCGCAUAUUACUAGAGCGAUUAUGGCACCAAGGAGGCCUGAUACACCGCCCGAGGGGGUGGAGGGACCGUUUGAGGGGCCGUUGCUAGACGGUAUACCGCCG